GAAGUCUCCCUCCUUCAUUGUGUCUUGAGACCUUGAGAAGAAGAGAGAUGAAGCUCAGUUCUCUGCUUCUGUUGAUUGCCCUCAGCUGCUGCUCUGCCAAAGAUCGUUAUAGAGAAAAGUGAUAAUCUCUGCAAAGAUGAAUAGAUAAACUCACGCAUCAAGACCUUCCACUUCCUACCACACAAUGUGACAAUUGUCAAGGUGAUCACCAUGACAUCCCGCCCGCUUCCAUGAUGAUGGACGCCGCCCAGUCACCUGACCAAUCUAACGCCAGCCCCGCCCCCCGGGUGUCGGAGCCGUUACAGGAACAGUCGGACACGCUGUGGAGGAAGGAGGUCCUGGACCUGCUCACACAGCUGGUCCUGGUCCAGAAGGAGAUGGCCCAGCAUCAGGUUCAGGUGGUGCAGCUGCUCAACAUGCUGGGAACUCAGGGCUCUCAGCAGAUCCUGGAUCUGCAGAACAUGGCUCGUCACCAGAGUCUGCUGGUUGAGAACCAUCAAGCUUUACUUCUGCAGACGUCUCGCAUCUCCACACAGCUGCAGGAGAUCAACAGGAAACCUGCCUCCUGCCAAUGAGAUCCUCUGGUUAUUUACUUGCAAGCAAUGGGAUCUUCUGGUGCUCAACUGGCAGGCAAUGGGAUUGUCUAAUUCUUCACAGAUCCUAUGCACUCUAAUCAUUACUAAUGAUUAACAGUGUGAUGAUAGAUAUAAACUUUAACCAAACAUUUAUUAAAAAAAAUUACAACAUUUUAGAAUCAAAUAAUUGAUUUCUAUGUUUCAUUAAAUAACCUUAAAAGUGAACUGCUGCUUUCUUUUCACCUGAAGCAAUCAGCUUCUUUUGUUAUAAUGUGUUGUAUGUUCUGAUGUUUCUAUUAAUAAAUUACAUCUUGUUUGAUUA
ensembl:lncRNA